rnacentral:rRNA from 1 species
UACGGAGGAUGCGAGCGUUAUCCGGAUUUAUUGGGUUUAAAGGGUGCGUAGGCGGAAUUGCAAGUCAGCGGUGAAACGCAAGGGCCCAACCCUUGACCUGCCGUUGAAACUGUAGUUCUGGAAUGCGGAUGCUGUGGGAGGAAUGUGUGGUGUAGCGGUGAAAUGCAUAGAUAUCACACAGAACACCGAUUGCGAGGGCAUCUCACAAAUCCGUGAUUGACGCUGAGGCACGAAAGUGUGGGGAUCAAAC